UACAGAGGUCCCGAGCGUUGUUCGGAUUUACUGGGCGUAAAGGGCGCGUAGGCGGUCGUGACAAGUCACUUGUGAAAUCUCCGGGCUUAACUCGGAACGGUCAAGUGAUACUGUCGGACUAGAGUACAGAAGGGGCAACUGGAAUUCUCGGUGUAGCGGUGAAAUGCGUAGAUAUCGAGAGGAACACCUGCGGCGAAGGCGGGUUGCUGGGCCGACACUGACGCUGAGGCGCGAAAGCCAGGGGAGCGAACGGG
rnacentral:rRNA from 1 species